CGGUAAUUCCAGCUCCAAUAGCGUAUACUAAAGUUGUUGCAGUUAAAAAGCUCGUAGUUGGAUUUCUGCGGGGACGGAGCGGCCGGUCGCAACUUGCGACUCGAGCUAGCGCUUUCCCCGCAUCCUGCCGCGAACCGUGCUACCAUUAGUUUGGUGGCGCUGGGGAUCGGCUCGAUUACUUUGAGAAAAAUAGAGUGUUCAAAGCAGGCCACACGCCUUGAAUAAGUUAGCAUGGAAUAAUGACUAAGGACUUUGGUUCUUUUCGUUGGUGUUCGGGACUGAAGUAAUGAUUGAUAGGGACAGUUGGGGCGGUCCGUAUUCCAAAGCGAGAGGUGAAAUCCUUAGACCUUCGGAAGACGAACAGCUGCGAAAGCGUUCCGCAAGGAUGUUCCCUUUGAUCAAGAACGAAAGUUGGGGGAUCGAAGACGAUCAGAUACCGUCGUAGUCUCAACUAUAAACUAUACCAGCUAGGGAUCGGCCAACGUUUAAUUAUUCGACUUGGUCGGCACCUUAUGAGAAAUCAAAGCAUCUGGGUUCCGGGGGGAGUAUGGUCGCAAGGCUGAAACUUAAAGGAAUUGACGGAAGGGCACCACCAGCCGUGGAGCCUGUGGCUUAAUUUGACUCAACACGGGAAAACUUACCAGGUCCGGACAUAGUAAGGAUUGACAGAUUGAUAGCUCUUUCUUGAUUCUGUGGGUGGUGGUGCAUGGCCGUUUUUAGUCGGUGGAUGUGAUCUGUCUGCUUAAUUGCGUUAACGGACGAGACCCCAGCCUGCUAAAUAGCGCGGCCGAGCUUUGCUCGGUGCGAGCUUCUUAGAGGGACCAUGAUGCGCGAUAGCACAAGGAAGUUUGGGGCAACAACAGGUCUGUGAUGCCCUUAGAUGUUCUGGGCCGCACACGGGCUACACUGGCGCCUGCAACGAGCAUAUCAGCUGGCCCGAGAGGGUCUUGGCUAAUCUUUGGAACCGGCGCCGUGCUUGGGAUUGACCAUUGCAAUUGUUGGUCAUGCAACGAGGAAUGCCUUGUAAACGCGAGUCAUCAGCUCGCAUUGAAUACGUCCCUGCCCUUUGUACACACCGCCC
rnacentral:rRNA from 1 species